rnacentral:rRNA from 1 species
ACUCCUACGGAAGGCAGCAGUGGGGAAUUUUGGACAAUGGGCGCAAGCCUGAUCCAGCCAUGCCGCGUGAGUGAAGAAGGCCUUCGGGUUGUAAAGCUCUUUCGGUGGGGAAGAAAUUGCACGGGCGAAUACCCUGUGUAGAUGACGGUACCUGGAGAAGAAGCACCGGCUAACUACGUGCCAGCAGCCGCGGUAAU